rnacentral:tRNA from 1 species
CCCAAGCUCAGUUGGUUAGAGCGGUCGGCUCAUAACCGAUUGGUCGCAGGUUCGAGUCCUGUAGGGCCCA